GACGAACGCUGGCGGCGUGCCUAACACAUGCAAGUCGAGCGAUGAAGUUUUCUUCGGAAAACGGAUUAGCGGCGGACGGGUGAGUAACACGUGGGUAACCUGCCCUAUAGAGGGGGAUAGCCUUUCGAAAGGAAGAUUAAUACCCCAUAAAAUCUUAGUACCGCAUGGUACAUAGAUCAAAGGAGUAAUCCGCUAUAGGAUGGACCCGCGGCGCAUUAGCUAGUUGGUGAGGUAACGGCUCACCAAGGCGACGAUGCGUAGCCGACCUGAGAGGGUGAUCGGCCACAUUGGGACUGAGACACGGCCCAGACUCCUACGGGAGGCAGCAGUGGGGAAUAUUGCACAAUGGGGGAAACCCUGAUGCAGCAACGCCGCGUGAGUGAUGACGGUCUUCGGAUUGUAAAGCUCUGUCUUCAGGGACGAUAAUGACGGUACCUGAGGAGGAAGCCACGGCUAACUACGUGCCAGCCGCCGCAGUAAAAC
rnacentral:rRNA from 1 species